GAGGAUGAUCAGUCACACUGGAACUGAGACACGGUCCAGACUCCUACGGGAGGCAGCAGUGGGGAAUAUUGGACAAUGGGCGAAAGCCUGAUCCAGCCAUGCCGCGUGUGUGAAGAAGGUCUUCGGAUUGUAAAGCACUUUAAGUUGGGAGGAAGGGUAGUAGCCUAAUACGUUGCUACUUUGACGUUACCGACAGAAUAAGCACCGGCUAACUUCGUGCCAGCAGCCGCGGUAAUACGAAGGGUGCAAGCGUUAAUCGGAAUUACUGGGCGUAAAGCGCGCGUAGGUGGUUCAGUAAGUUGGAAGUGAAAUCCCCGGGCUCAACCUGGGAACUGCUUUCAAAACUGCUGAGCUAGAGUACGGUAGAGGGUGGUGGAAUUUCCUGUGUAGCGGUGAAAUGCGUAGAUAUAGGAAGGAACACCAGUGGCGAAGGCGACCACCUGGACUGAUACUGACACUGAGGUGCGAAAGCGUGGGGAGCAAACAGGAUUAGAUACCC
rnacentral:rRNA from 1 species